rnacentral:miRNA from 7 species
GUCAGUGGGCAUGGUGGGGAUGGGUUGGGGUUGGACUGGAUGAUCUUAGAGGUCUUCUCCAACCUUAACGAUUCUAU